rfam:Schistosoma haematobium scaffold736_3, whole genome shotgun sequence.
GCACUGCUGAAGAGUCUCACAAUAAGAUGAAAUGGCUGUCCAGUGC